GCCAGUGUGGUAUAGUGGUUUGAGUGUUGGACUAUGAUUCUGGAGACUGGGGCUCAACUCCCUACUCAGUCA